CCGUCGUCACCGUGGCCAGGCCACCGGAGGACCGUGCGGCUCGCGAGUCUCCCAUGGCUCGGCCAUUGGGGCCGCGCUGGUCAAGCUGCCUGCCGCGAUGGAAUGGAAUAGCCAGGCUACUAGGCUAGUGUCCACGGCCGAUCGUUUUACCAAGCGGAAAUUGGUCGGGGACACCGUUAUUUCGUUAUUUUGUGAUUUUUGUCCAAACACACCGUCCGAAUGUGAAUUUGUCAGGUACCAUUACAAUUAUAUGGCCAUUUGCUGAAACACACCGCCGGUCCAAACACGGAAAAUUGACCUUUUGGGUUGCUCAUGACUUUUUUUUUUUCAUGGGAGGGCUGUUUUGGAUACUUAUUCUCAUAGCAUUGGCGGUAAUUCAUUUUGCGUCACGGAAGUUUCUGCAUCACGUCGGCAUCCUAGCCAUGAAUUAGUAUGGUGCAUUUAGUCAACAUGAAGAAUAAGAGUGAAAUAGAAGCACAUGGUCCCUAGUAGGAAUAAAUCAUAUUUCGCUAUAACAGCACAAUGGAAGCU
rnacentral:lncRNA from 1 species